rnacentral:rRNA from 1 species
AUGCUGCGUUAUGAUCUUGAGGAUCAGCUCGCUACCAUCUAUACAGAUGAAGAAGCAUACUGGAGGCUCCGCGGUACCCAACGAUGGGUGCUUCGGGGAGAAGCUAAUACGGCGUACUUCCAGGCGAUCGUGAAUGGGCAGCGAUGCCGAAACUCCAUCCAUUGCCUUUGGGGUGGAGAUUCCCAGCUUGUCCGCCCUUAGGACAUUCGUGCGCAUGUUGAUGGCUUUUACAAAGCCCUAUUCAACCCCACCCUUCGGGGUGGGGCCGCUCUGGCGCCCGAUACCUGGUCGGGCGCCCAGCUAGUGUCCAAUGCGGCUAACGCCGCCUUAGUUGUCCCAUUCUCUGAGGACAAGGUCCUCACCGCGAUUAAGGGUAUGAACCCCUCCUUGACCCCGGGACCGGAUGGACUGCCAGUGUCCUUUUUUAAAGCGUUCUGGCAGACCAUAAAACCAGAGGUCAUGGCUCUCUGCGAUGAAUUCUUCUUGGGGACCAUGGACCUCGGGCGCCUAAACUAUGGGGUUGUCACCCUUAUCCCCAAAGUCUCGGGCGCGGCUGACAUCCGCUAGUUCCAGCCUAUCACUGUGAUCAAUGUGAUAUUCCGGAUCCUGGCCAAGGGUACGCCAAUAGGGUGA